UAUAUUCCUAAUUUAAUUUAAUUGAAUUGUAUUUCUUGUUGCUUAUCUUCUUUUAUAUAUAUUAUUAAUUUUUUGGUUUGAAUAUAGAUUUCUUAGUUCUCAAAGACUUACAAAAGAUAACUGUUUUUCAUUUCGCUUCCGGCCCAAAAUAUUCACUUUUAUACUUAGCUCUAAUUAAAUACCCAAUCGUUUCAAUUUGGGCUUCUCUUUACUGUAAUUCAUAAGUCCUGGGCGCUUAACGCCGCCAGCAUUUACUAUUUUAUGAAUAAACUGUACUUCCAAUAUACAUAUA